rnacentral:rRNA from 1 species
UACGUAGGGGGCAAGCGUUGUCCGGAAUUAUUGGGCGUAAAGAGCGCGUAGGCGGUCCGGUAAGUCGGUUGUGGAAGUCGGGGGCUCAACCCUCGGAUGCCGAUCGAUACUGUCGGGCUAGAGUCCGGAAGAGGCGAGUGGAAUUCCUGGUGUAGCGGUGAAAUGCGCAGAUAUCAGGAGGAACACCAAUGGCGAAGGCAGCUCGCUGGGACGGUACUGACGCUAAGGCGCGAAAGCGUGGGGAGCGAACAGG